GGAAGUAUGGUACCAUUUGACUGCAGUAAAGUUUGUGACGGUGGCUAUCUUUGAAAGGUGGUGGUGCUUAUGAAUGUAAGUACUAACUCUUCAGAAAGGAGAAGCCUUUUUGUCCACAGCGGAAGCAAUCGGGCUAAUGAUCAGUUUUGGUACAUUUACCGCCAUGCUGAUCUUUGGUAUCCU
rfam:Enterococcus casseliflavus EC20, complete genome.